rnacentral:rRNA from 1 species
GACGAACGCUGGCGGCGUGCUUAACACAUGCAAGUCGAACGGUGAAGCGCCUUCCUUUUUGGUGGGUGUGGAUGAGUGGCGAACGGGUGAGUAACACGUGAGUAACCUGCCCCCUUCUUCUGGAUAACCGCAUGAAAGUGUGGCUAAUACGGGAUAUUCUGGGUCUGUCGCAUGAUGGGUCUGGGAAAGAUAUUGUUUCGGUGGGGGAUGGGCUCGCGGCCUAUCAGCUUGUUGGUGGGGUGAUGGCCUACCAAGGCGGUGACGGGUAGCCGGCCUGAGAGGGUGGACGGUCACACUGGGACUGAGACACGGGCCAGACUCCUACGGGAGGCAGCAGUGGGGAAUAAUGAACAAUGGGCGCAAGCCUGAUGCAGCGACGCCGCGGGAGGGAUGGAGGCCUUCGGGUUGUGAACCUCUUUCGCCAGUGAAGCAGGCCUGCCUCGUUUGUGGGUGGGUUGACGGUAGCUGGAUAAGAAGCGCCGGCUAACUACGUG